rnacentral:tRNA from 1 species
AUUAGUUUGGCAGAAUUAUUGUGUUAAAUUUAGACUUUAAUUAUAUGUGUAAAUACAUAUCUAAUA